ACAUGUUAUCUGAUUCUGUAGCAACAUCUCUUCAGCACUCUAAAACAGAAUGCUAAAACUAACAAAAUAAAUACUCUUCCUUAGCAUAGCUCCACAUUUUGAUUGAUCAAGGGGCAAUCACAAUUCGCCCAGCCACUUGGUCAAGAUCCCGUUGACCGCUUGAAGUUAUUCUCCUUCCCCCCUUUGGGUCGAUGUCAACAAUAUUCAUAUUCUGCAAUUGCUG
rnacentral:misc_RNA from 1 species